rnacentral:rRNA from 1 species
UACGUAGGGGGCUAGCGUUGUCCGGAAUCAUUGGGCGUAAAGAGCGUGUAGGCGGCCCGGUAAGUCCGCUGUGAAAGUCAAAGGCUCAACCUUUGAAUGUCAGCGGAUACGGUCGAGCUUGAGCAAGCUAGGGGGCAAUGGAAUUCCCGGUGUAGUGGUGGAAUGCGUAGAUAUCGGGAGGAACACCAGUGGCGAAGGCGGUUGCCUGGGGCUUUGCUGACGCUGAUGCGCGAAAGCGUGGGGAGCGAUCCGG